GGUAAACUACACGGUGGUCUCAAAAGAACAGAAAAUUCUAGGCAGCAGUUUCAGGUGACAAGCAAAAGGAAUCUGUUGAAAUAUCUGCAGCGGCUGUGGGCUGAUAAGAUGCUGAAAAACAGCGUGUGGACCAAGCUAAGAAUGAGUGGACCCAACAUGCCCCUGGAUUUGACCCAGAUUUCGCGUAGGACCUCAUUACAUGCUGAUUAACAUACUAGUCAGCUCCCUAGCAGUUCUGAGAAUACUCAUAUUUGGUAUAAAAAUUCGAGGCACCAGAGUUCUGAGAAAACCUGUCCUUCCAGGAAUUUUCAUGAAUAUUCCACCCGUUGAUUGAGGAAACCCAGAAAGGUGGCAGCCCCAAGCCCCCUUGCCCCGCCUCUCUCUUGAGUUCCCCUGCACUCCCUUUACUUGAGUAUUUACUUUUCCUUUUACAAUAAAUCUCCAUCCUUUCUCUAUUUUCCUACUGGUCUUCGAAUUCACUUCCCCAUGCGCUGCCAAGAGCCCCGCACCGGCUGGGGUCGCAGUCCCACCAGCGUUUGGGGACCUCCCCUUGCCCACUGGCAUUAGAAGAAUGCAAAUGGCAGUGAACCCAGGAAAAGGUGCUCAGUAUCCACAGCCCUCAGGGAAAUGCCAACCGCACCCACAAGGGGACGCCUCACCCCGCUGGAAUGGGUGACCCCAAACACAGUAAGGCUGGAGGGGGUGGGGCCUGCGUUCCUUACAAGGCAGAGAGCAGGAGAAGGAGUUGGUGGAGUGUGGGGCUAUGCGUGUGUCAUCCUCUUCCCAUUUUCCUGGUGGAGGUUUCUCUUUAUUCUCUGGCCCUACCUGCUUCCUUCCUCUCCCUUUCUCUGGUUCUCCCUCCCAUCCUUCAUUUCCAACCAACCCAAGGUUUUCUCUGCCCCACGACAUCCAUGCUCCGGGCCCCAAGCCCAGCUUAUAAACCAGGAGCCCUGGACUGCGAGCGGCGGGAUCCAGGAGGCGACAACUUGACGCCCCUUCCGGACCCUGGACAUUCAGGACCUAGUAGCAGCCCCAGGGCAAGGAGGAUGGGGGUCCUCGCGGGGCUCACACUGUCGGAGCCCCACGGAUUCGAGCGGAACGGAAAAAUCAAUGUAGCUGAAAAGCCAUGGUUGCAGGAACUGGACAUCACCCGCCAAGAUUCUACACAGUCCUACACAUCCUCCCAGCUGAAGAUGCCAGAGGAAGAGGAUAUGGAAUGCAGUCACGUUUCAGAGAGGAACCUAAAGUCAAACUGGACCAGGUGUCUUGUCUUGAUCUCUGCCUCUUCACCCAACCCCCACCUGGUCAGGCAGUGACCCUGGAGGGCCUGGGAUGAUGCUUGGUGGGCAGUGAAGAUGGGAAGCCAAUUUUGGGAGUAUGGUGAACAUGGAGAGUCGGGACCCCAUAGCAACUGGGGAGGAGCUGGUGUGAUGCUGGGAGCACUGGGAAGGCAGGGAGCCUAGGCACAGCACUCACUGCUUCUCCCAUCUGGGACAGGAUUUGGGUCGGUGAUGAGAAAAGUUUCCUGAGUAGCAGAGUUCCCAAGCCUGGCAGAAUGACUCACCCUGGUUGCCACUAUGCCCAGCCCAUCCUACACUUUAUAUUCUGUCAACAGCAAUUUUUAAAACACUGUAUCCAGAAGGUAGAAAAAGAUAACCAAUCACAUAGGGAGGUAAGAUAGCAACAAGAAGAACCAGCUGAAAUGUGCAACAGAGACAGAAAAUACAUGGAACCUCUAGAUCAGCACUCUGAUAGAAAUAAAAUGCAAGCCACAAGUGUGAGCCACACAGGGAAUUUUAAAUAUUCUAGUGAACACAUUGAAAAAAUUAAAAGAAACAGGUAAAAUAUGUUUUUACAACAUUUUUCUCAAUAUGCUUUAACUAAAUUUUUUAACCAAAAUUAUUAUUUCAACAUGUCAUCAAUGGAAAAAUGAAUAAUGAGACAUUUGACAUUUUUAUACUAAACCUUUGAAAUUUGGUGUGCACCGUAUACUGACAGUACUUCUCAGUUUAAACUAGUUGUUAAGGCUAGCUCUCAAUAGCCUCACGUAGCUAGUGACUGCUGGGUUAGACUUUGCAGCUUUAGAUUUUAGAAUUAUCUUGCCGGGUGCGGUGGCUCACCCCUGUAAUCCCAGCACUUUGGGAGCCCCAGGUGGGUGGAUGGCCUGAGGUCGGGAGUUUGAGACCGUCCUAACCAACAUGGUGAAACCCCUUCUGUACUAAAAAUAUGAAAAUUAGCUGGGUCUGGUGGUUCACGCCUAUAGUCCCAGUUACUCAGGAGGCUGAGGCACGAGAAUCGAUUGAACCCAGGGAAUGGAAGUUGCAGUGAGCCAAGAUCAUGCCACUGCAUUUCAGUCCUGGCCAUCGGGUGAGACUCUGUUUGAAAAAAGAAAAAAAAAAAAAAAAAAAAAAAAAAAAAAAAAAGGGGGAAGAAAGAAAGAAAGAAAGAAAAAACAACAAAAAAUUAGAAUUAUCAGGGAGGGAUUUAAAAAUAACUAUGCUUACUAUGUUUCAAUGGCUUUUAAAAAAAUGAAAAAAAAAAAAAAAACCAUUGAGCAAAAAAUUUUCCAGGUUUUCUUACUCUGUUGUUGCUAUGGCCUGUGGGGCCUGCCAGUUAGAGCUAAACAGUCAGUUUUGCUGUUUCUAGGCAGGAAAAUGCUCGCAUCAUAAGUAAAUGUCUAGGCAUCCCAGGAGGUGACUGUGGUAAUGUAUAUUUUCAUUAGUCAAUUCCACUCUUAAAGGUACAAUUCUCCUGAGUUUUUAACAUUUUCCUAGGGUGCCAUUCUAUAUGUUAAAUCCAAAAUUCAUGAUUUCUUCUCAAAGGCAGUGUUACCAUAAUUCACACCAUUUAGAUAUAUUAUUUAAAAAGUGUUUAAAUCUAUUCAACAUUGUUCAUUAAGCUUGUUAAAAUUAUAAAAAUAUCUUGUCAUGUCUGAUUAACUCAACUGAAUUCAGUUUAUAAACAGUACUGCUGUUCUACAAUGUGCUAUUUAUUGUUUAAGUCUAGAAUUCAUUAGUGUUUCCAAUAACUGAAAGGGAUGGAGUAUUUUACUAAGAUUUCUGUCAUAAUUAUAAUAAAUUUAAGACUGUGGGCCAAUUUUAUGAAAUCUAUGAAAUAUAGAAAUGAUAGGAAGUAAAUGAAUUUAACAUAGUUCUAGCAUUCAUUUUGUUUAAAAGCCAAUGUUCGGUGAAAACGUUGUUGUUUUUCUCUUCUGAAAACCUGAAGCAAGUAAUGCUAGAAACGUGAUUUUCUACAGAAUUGACAGGUUGGUAAGAUGAUAUAUGACUGAAGUAAUAUCAUUCAUCUGUUUAAUGUUUAUAACCUGGGAACAUGCCUUAUAAUAUGAGCAAAUGCCUACAUGUUUCAAUAUACUCCUAAAUAUAAGAGACUUUAAGCUCCUAUGUUCACAAAGAAGUAUUGUCUGUAAAUUACAUCUCAAUAAGUUUAAUAUUUAUAAAAUAGGAGGAGAGAAG
ensembl:lncRNA